ensembl:lncRNA
UUUUUUUUUUUUUUUUUUUUAGAAGGAAUCUCAUUCUGUUGCCCAGGCUCAAGUGCAGUGGCACAAUCUUGGUUCACUGCAACCUCUGCCUCCCAGGUUCAAGCAAUGCUCCUGCCUCUGCCUCCCAAGUAACUGGGAAUACAGGAAUGCCCCACCACACCUGGCUAAUUUUUUGUAUUUUUAGUAGAGAUGAGGUUUCACCAUGCUGGUCUCAAACUCCUGACCUCAAGUAAUCUGCCCACCUUGCCCUCCCAAAGUGCUGGAAUUACAGGCAUGAGCCACCGUGGAAGGCCCUGUUUCCUGACUUUUUAAUAAUUGCUAUUCUGAGUGGUGUGAGAUGGUAGCCAUACUCAGAAAACUGAAAUAGACCCCUUCCUUACGCCUUAUACAAAAAUUAACGCACGAUGGUUUAAAGACUUAAAUGUAAAACCCAAAACCAUAAAACCCUAGAAGAAAACCUAGGCAGUACCAUUCAGGACAUAGGCAUGGGCAAAGACUUCGUGAUGAAAACACCAAAAGCGAUUGCAACGAAAGCUAAAAUUGACAAGUGGGAACUAAUUAAACUAAAGAGCUUCUGCACAGAAAAAAGAAACAAACAAAAAAACAAACAAACAAAAACAGGCAACUUACAGAAUGGGAGAAAAUUUUUGCAAUCUACCCAUCUGACAAAGGUCCAAUAUCCAGAGUCUACAAGGAACUUAAAAAAUUCACAAGAAUAAAACAAACAACCCCGUCAAAAAGUGGGCAAAAUAUUUGAACAGAGAUUUCUCAAAAGAAGAAAUUUAUGUGGCCAAAAAAUGUAUAAAAAAAGUUCGUCAUCACUGAUCAUUAGAGAAAUGUAAAUGCAUCAUUUUUUAUCAACCUAUAACAAAUUCUUAGAUCUAAAGUGAGUAUCUUGUAAACAGCAUAUAGUUGGAUGGUGUUUAUUUUUGCAUUUAUCUAAUCUAUGCCUUUUGAUUAGAAAAUGUAAUCUAUAUGUAAACAAAUUGCUAAUAGAGACGAACUUAUACUUGCCAUUUUGUUAUUUUUUCCUGAUUCUCAUUUAUUCCAUUAUUGCCUUCCUUUGUUUUUAGUAGUUUUUAAAUGUAGUGCCAUGUUUUUAUUCUCUUUUUUAUAUAUAUAUAUAUUUUAUUUAUAUUUCCUUAGUGGUUACCAUGGAGAUUGUACUUAACAUUGUAGAGUCUUAACAAUUUAUUUUUUAAUUUGCACAAAUUUAACUCUAAUUGUGUACUAAAACUGUAAUUUUCUACUUCUCCCAUUCCCUUAGACUUGAAGGGAAAGACCCAAUUCUAACAGUAUUCAUCAUCUGCUAAGUGAAGAGCUCUCGGGCCCUGAAUAACCAACAGAAAUACUCAGGUAACAUAUUGAUGGCUUUGGGUGAGAGUCUGAGACUUGCUGGUCUCGGGAGAGAUUCAGCACAUUCACACCUGUAGUGGCUAUGGGACAAGACUCCUUUUGCUUGAGAAAUCAGAGGAAAAAGUAAAGGGGACUUUGUCAAGCCUUAGGUACCAGGACAGCCACAGAGAAAUAAAGCACCACUAAGUGGACUCUUGGGGUCCUUGAUUUCAGGACUUGGCUCUUGGAUGGCAUUUCUAGACCUGCCCUGGGCCAAAGGAGAACUCACUCCACUGAAGAAUAUAAGUCCCAGGUCAAGCAGCAUGACUUAAGAGCCCUUGGGUCUUAAGGGAACAUUAACUGUAGCCUCAAAAUACUCUACAUGCACCUAUGGUGGUAGUGGCCAUUGAGUGAGGUUCCUCUGCCUUUGAGAGGGGGAGAAAAGAGUGGGAAGGACUGUAUCUAGUGGUUUGAAUCCCAGCUCAUCUGCAGUACAACAGAAUACCAGGUAGACUUCUAAGAUUAUUGAAUCUAGUCACUGACUCUGAGGCAGCACCUCUGGACUGCUCAGAGACUGGGGGAACUCACCACCCUGAAGGAAAACAGGCCUGGCUUGUGUUGCCACCUUUUGAUUGUAGAGCCCCAUGGUCUUGAUUGAACAUACUCAUGGGACAGGGAGUGGUUACAGCAGACCACAAAUAAGAUACAGUGCUGUGCUGUGCUAGCUACAGAUCUGACCCAGCACAGCCCUAGUGGCCACAGGACUCUUGUGUCACUCCAGUCCAACUUCAGGUGGCUCACAGCAGAGAGUGUUUAGGAGAAAUUAAAGGAAAGAAACAAGUGUUUCCACCUGGUAAUCCAGAGAAUUCUCUCAGAUAUUUUCCAAGACUAUCAAGACAGCAACUCUAUGACCCUGCAGGAACCACAGUGCUACUGGGCUUGGGAUGUCCUACAAAGCAGAUACAGCUCAUAUCACAAUAUCCAAGUCCUUAUGGGUAUCUGGAAAGCCUUCCCAAAAAAGAUGAGUAAAAACAAGCCCAGACUGUGAAGACUACAAUAAAUACCCAAUUCUUCAAUGUCCAGACAUAGAUGAACAUCCACAAGUAUCAAGAUAAUUCAGGAAAACACGACGUCACCAAAUGAACUAAAUAAACCAGCAGGAACUAAUCUUGCAGAAACAAAGAUAUGUGACCUUUCCAGGAGAGAAUUCAAAAUAAUUGUCUUGUGGAAAAGAAAACUCAAAUGAAUUCAAGAUAAAAUCAAAGAAAGAAUUCAGAAUUCUGUCAGAUAAAAUUAACAAAGUUAUUCAAAUAAUUUAAAAGAAUCAAACAGAAAUUCUGGAGCUGAAAAUGCAAUUAGCAUACUGAAGAAUGCAUCAGGUUUUCAAUAACAUAAUCAAUCAUCAGAAGAAUUAAUGAACUCGAAGACAGGCUAUUUGAAAAUACAAAGUCAGAAAACACACCAAAAAAAAGAAACAAUAAAGCAUGUGUACAGGAUGCAGAAAAUAGGCUCAAAAGAGCAAAACUGAGAGUAAUUGGCCUUAAAGGGACAUAGAGAAAGAUAUAGGGGUAGAAAGUUUAUUCCAAGGGAUAAUAACAGAGAACUUCAUAAACCUAGAGAAUGAUAUCAAUAUCCAAGUACAAGAAGGUCAUAAGACACCAAGCAAAUUUAACCCAAAUAAGACUACUUCAAAAUGUUUAAUAAUGAAACAUCCAAAAAACAAGGGUAAAGAAAUGAUCCUAAAAGUAGCAAGAUCAAAGACAUAAAUGCUGCACAAGGAAGAUUUAAAACACCUGACAACAGACUUUUCAGUGACAACCUUACAGACCAGAAGAGAGUGGCAUGAUAUAUUUAAACUGCUGGAGGAGGAAAAAAAAUCAAAUUAAAAAACACUUUUACCCUAAAAUUGUAUAUCCAGCAAUAAUAUCCUUAAAACCUGAAGAGGAAGUAGACAUUCCAGAGAAAAACAUGACAUUUGUUUUUUUCUUGUAAAAUUGAUUGAGUUCUUUGUAGAUUCUGGAUAUUAGCCCUUUGUCAGAUGAGUAAAUUGCAAAAAUUUUCUCCCAUUCUGUAGGUUGCCUGUUCACUCUGAUGGUAGUUUCUUUUGCUGUGCAUAAGCUUUUUAGUUUACUUAGAUCUCAUUUGUCAAUUUUGACUUUUGUUGCCAUUGAUUUUGGUGUUUUAGACAUGAAGUCCUUGCCCAUGCCUAUGUCCUGAAUGGUAUUACCUAGGACCUAGGUUUUCUUCUAGAGUUUUUAUGGUUUUAGGCCUAACAUUCAAGUCUCUAAUCCAUCUUGAAUUAAUUUUCAUAUAAGGAAUAAAGAAAGAAUCCAGUUUCAGCUUUCUACUCAUGGCUAGCCAAUUUUCCCAGCACCAUUUAUUAAAUAGGGAACCCUUUCCCCAUUUCUUGUUUUUGUCAGGUUUGUCAAAGAUCAGAUGGUUGUAGAUAUGUGGUAUUAUUUUUGAGGGCUCUGUUCUGCUCCAUUGGUCUAUAUCUCUGUUUUGGUACCAGUACCAUGCUGUUUUGGUUACUGUAGCCUUGUAGUAUAGUUUGAAGUCAGGUAGCAUGAUGCCUCCAGCUUUAUUCUUUUGGCUUAGGAUUGUCUUGGCAAUGUGGGGUCUUUUUUGGUUCCAUAUGAACUUCAAAGCAGUUUUUUCCAAUUCUGUGAAGAAACUCAUUGGUAGCUUGAUGGAGAUGGCAUUGAAUCUCUAAAUUACCUUGGGCGGUAUGGCCAUUUUCACGAUAUUGAUUCCUCCUAUCCAUGAGCAUGGUAUGUUCUUCCAUUUGUUUGUGUCCUCUUUUAUUUCACUGAGCAGUGGUUUGUAGUUCUCCUUGAAGAGGUCCUUUACAUCCCUUGUAAGUUGGAUUCCUAGGUAUUUUAUUCUCUUUGGAGCUAUUGUGAAUGGGAGUUCAUUCAUGAUUUAACUCUCUGUUACCACUAUUCCUCUCCGCUUUAUGGAAACGCUCUGAGGAUACAAAGAGACAUCUGUAUGCAAGGGCAUUGGAAGUUUCUGGUGGUGUGUGUGUGUCUCUGUGUGUUAAAGUUUUAUUUUAUUUAAACAUUUAGUUUUAGGGGUACAUGUGCAGGUUUGUUAUAUAGGUAAAGUCAUGUCAAUGGGGUUUGUUGUUCAGAUUAUUUUGUCACCCAGGUACUAAGCCUACUACCCAAUAGUUAUUAGUUCCAUAUGUGAAGUUGGAACUUUGAUAUUCAUAUUAGAACCCUUUGACUUGGCAAAGAAUUUUGCUGCAAAAUUUGAGGCCACAUGUUCAUUCUCCUAGUUUCUUUCUAAAUCCCCUAGGGGACUGUGGAUAGUUGAAUUGGAACAACCACUAGGACUCAUACCUCUACCUUUGUUACUUUCCUUAGGGGAUGACUCCUACUUUGUACCCUUUUACAGGUACAGGAAGUUUUACAGGUACAGGAAGCCAUAGACUACCAGAACUGUAUGAGUACUUAGAGGUACUAAUUCCACACAAUAUUCCUUAAAUGGGAAUAGGGCCAGGAGAGAAACAGAAUAUUUGUAUCUAAAUUAUUUACCCUAUCAUUGAUCACAUUCUUUUUUUUUUUUUUUUUUUUUUUUCAAGUUUCUAUCUGAGCCCCUAUGCCAUGUUAUGCUUAGAAGUCAAGAAGUGGGCAUUGAUGGCUGUUUGGGUUAAUGAAGAAAACCCUCACAGACUGAAGGAUCAUGGACUCUGGGGCGGGGAAGAUCAUAAAGGAAUGCUUUGAAUUACUAUAUUACUACAUUAAAUUAUUAUUGAUCUCUGGGCCAUGGUUUUACUUCCUACAUCUGCGUUUCUGUGAGGAUUAUCUCAAACCCAAUAGAACAAACCAUUAUUAGUUUUUUUACUGUUCUGGAUUUAUUUAUUCAUUUAAUUAUUGUACUUUAAGUUAUGGGAUACAUGAGCAGAAUGUGCAGGUUUGAUACAUAGGUAUAUGCGUGCCAUGAUGGUUUGCAGAACCCAUCGACCCAUCAUCUACAUUAGGUUUUUCUCCUAAUGCUAUCCCUCCCUUAACUCCCCACCCCCCAACGGCCCUGGUGUGUGAUGUUCCCCUCUGUGUGUCCAUGUAUUCUCGUUGUUCAACCCCCACUAUGAGUGAGAACAUGUGGUGUAUGAUUUUCUGUUCCUGUGAUAUUUUGCUGAGAAUGAUGGUUUCCAGCUUCAUCCAUGUCCCUGCAAAUGACAUGAACUUAUCCUUCCUUAUGGCUGUAUAAUAUUCCAUGGUGUAUAUGUGCCAGAUUUUCUUUAUCCAGUCUAUCAUUGAUGGGCAUUUGGGUUAGUUCCAACUCUGUGCUAUUGUGAAUAGUGCUGCAAUAAACAUACAUGUGCAUGUGUCUUUAUAGUAGAAUGAUUUAUAAUCCUUUGAGUAUAUACCCAGCAAUGGGAUUGCUGGGUCAAAUGGUAAUUCUGGUUCUAGAUGAUUGAGGAAUCCCCACAGUGUCUUCCACAAUGGUUGAACUAAUUUACACUCCCACCAGCAGUGUAAAAGUGUUCCUAUUUCUCCACAUCUUCUCCAGAAUCUGUUGUUUCCUGACUUUAAUGAUCACCAUUCUAACCAGCCUAAGAUGGUAUCUCAUUAUGGUUUUGAUUUGCAUUUCUCUAAUGACCAGUGAGGAUGAGCUUUUUUUCAUAUGUUUGGUGGCCACAUAAAUGUCUUCUGAGAAGUUUCUGUUCAUAUCCUUUGCCCACUUUUUGAUGGGUUUGUUUGUUUUUCUCUUGUAAAUUUGUUUUGGUUUAGAUUUGCAUUUCUCCAAUGACCAGUGAUGAUGAGCUUUUUUUGAUAUAUUUGUUGGCCCAUAAAUAUCUUCUUUCGAGAAGUGUCUGCUCAUAUCCUUUGCCCAAUUUUUCACGAAGUUUUUUAUUUCUUGUAAAUUUGUUUAAGUUCCUUGUAGAUUAUUGAUAUUAGCCUUUUGUCAGAUGGAUAGAUUGCAAAAUUUUUCUCCCAUUCUCUAGGUUGCCUGUUCAUUCUGAUGUUAGUUUCUUUUGCUGUGCAGAAGCUCUUUAGCUUAAUUAGAUCUCAUUUGUUUAUUGUGGAUUUUGUUGCCAUUGCUCUUGGUGCUUUAGUCAUGAAGUCUUUGCCCAUGCCUCUGUCCUGGAUGGUAUUGCCUAGGUUUUCUUAUAGGAUUUGUAUGGUUUUAGGUCUUACAUUUAAUUCUUUAAUCUAUCUUGAGAAAAAUUUUGUAUAGGGUGUAAGGAAGGCAUUCAGUUUCAGUUUUCUGCGUAUGGCAAGCCAGUUUUCCCAACACCGUUUAUUGAAUAGGGAAUCCUUUGCCCAUUACUUGUUUUUGUCCAGUUUUGUCCAAAUUGUUGUAGAUGUGUGGUGUUAUUUCUGAGGCCGAUGUUCUGUUCCAUUGGUCUAUAUAUCUGUUUUGGUACCUGUACCAUGUUGUUUUGGUUACUGUAGCCUUGUAGUAUAGUUUGAAGUCAGGUAGCGUGAUGCCUCCAGCUUUUUUCUUUGCUUAGGAUUGUCUUGGCUAUACAGGUUCUUUUUUGAUUCCAUAUGAAAUUUAGUUUUUUUCUAAUUAUGUGAAGAAAGUCAAUGGUAGUUUGAUGGGAAUAGCAUUGAAUCUUUAAAUUACUUUGGGCAGUAUGGCCAUUCUUACGACACUGAUUCUUCCUAUCCAUGAGCAUGGAAUGUUUUUCCAUUUCUUUGUAUCCUUCCUUAUUUCCUUGAGCAGUGGUUUGUAGUUCUUCUUGAAGAGCUGCUUCACAUCCCUCACAGGUUGUAUUCCUAGGUAUUUUAUUCUCUUUGUAGCAAUUGUGAAUGUGAGUUCACUGAUGAUUUGGAUCUCUGUCUAUUAUUGGUGUAUAGGAAUGCUUGUGAUUUUUCCACAUUGAUUUUGUAUCCUGAGACUUUGCUGAAGUGGCUUACCAGCUUAAGGAUAUUUGGAAAUUAUCAGAAAUUUGUUCUUAUUUAAUUUUAAUAAAACUGAAAAAAACUCUUAGGAAGACUAAUCUUUUAAGAAGCAAACACAAAUUACCUAUGUUAGGAAUAUUAGACAUAAGUAUAAAUCAUUUAAAUGUUAAAACUAUAACAAUUGAAUAUGAAACAUUUUAAACCAAUAAAUUUGAAAAUUUGAAUGAAAUGAAAACAUUCUCUGAAAAUUCAACUUACCAAACGGACUUAAUAAUAAAUUAAAAAUCUGAAUUAUUUGAAAUCCCAUGAAGAAAUGAAUUCAAUUUAAGAAAUUUUCCCAUAAUGAACAUUUCAAACUAUAAUAGAUUAACCUGUGAAUUCUUCCAAACACCAAUAUUAUACAAAAUCUACCAGAUAAUAAGGAUGAUACACUUUCUACCUAUUUGUAUGGAGAUUACAUUACCAUGAUGCCAAAUCCCUACAAGAAUGGGAAAAGAAAAGAAAUCUACUGGCCAAUAUCUUUCAUCAAUCUAGUUCAAAAUCCUAAGUAAAAUACUAGACAAUAGAAUUCAGUGAUUAAAAAAGCAAUACUCCAAGACUAAGCCAUUUACUUCAGAAAAUCAAGGGUACAUUUUUACACUUGUAAAUCUAUCAGUGUAAUACACUACAUUAAUAAACACAUAAGUGAAAAUUUAUAUAAUCAUCUCAAUAGAAGCAGAAAAGUAAUCUGGUAAAAUUAGAUACCUAAUUAUGUUAAAAACAGUAAACUACAUCUUCAUAAUAAAAAAAUACAAAUUAAAAUCACAAUGCGAUACCACCACUACAAGAAUAAAUACAAUAUAAAAGAGUAUAUAUAUUAAAAAAAAAAAAA